rnacentral:rRNA from 1 species
GACGAACGCUGGCGGCGUGCUUAGCACAUGCAAGUCGAGCGGUAAGGCCCUUUCGGGGGUACACGAGCGGCGAACGGGUGAGUAACACGUGGGUGACCUGCCCUCAGCUCUGGGAUAAGCCUGGGAAACCGGGUCUAAUACUGGAUAUGACUCCAUGACGCAUGUUGUGGGGUGGAAAGCCUUGUGCGGCUGAGGAUGGGCCCGCGGCCUAUCAGCUUGUUGGUGGGGUGAUGGCCUACCAAGGCGACGACGGGUAGCCGGCCUGAGAGGGCGACCGGCCACACUGGGACUGAGACACGGCCCAGACUCCUACGGGAGGCAGCAGUGGGGAAUCUUGCGCAAUGGGCGAAAGCCUGACGCAGCGACGCCGCGUGAGGGAUGACGGCCUC